UACGAAGGGUGCAAGCGUUACUCGGAAUUACUGGGCGUAAAGGGUGCGUAGGUGGUCGUUUAAGUCCGUUGUGAAAUCCCUGGGCUCAACCUGGGAAUGGCAGUGGAUACUGGACGGCUAGAAUGCGGUAGAGGGUAGUGGAAUUCCCGGUGUAGCAGUGAAAUGCGUAGAGAUGUGGAGGAAUACCGAUGGCGAAGGCAGCCCCCUGGGAUAACACUGACGCUCAUGCACGAAAGCGUGGGGAGCAAACAGG
rnacentral:rRNA from 1 species